rnacentral:rRNA from 1 species
GAUGAACGCUGGCGGCGUGCCUAAUACAUGCAAGUCGAGCGAACAGAUAAGGAGCUUGCUCCUUUGAAGUUAGCGGCGGACGGGCGAGUAACACGUGGGUAACCUACCUAUAAGACUGGGAUAACUUCGGGAAACCGGAGCUAAUACCGGAUAACAUUUAGAACCGCAUGGUUCUAAAGUGAAAGAUGGUUUUGCUAUCACUUAUAGAUGGACCCGCGCCGUAUUAGCUAGUUGGUAAGGUAACGGCUUACCAAGGCGACGAUACGUAGCCGACCUGAGAGGGUGAUCGGCCACACUGGAACUGAGACACGGUCCAGACUCCUACGGGAGGCAGCAGUAGGGAAUCUUCCGCAAUGGGCGAAAGCCUGACGGAGCAACGCCGCGUGAGUGAUGAAGGGUUUCGGCUCGUAAAACUCUGUUAUUAGGGAAGAACAAAUGUGUAAGUAACUGUGCACAUCUUGACGGUACCUAAUCAGAAAGCCACGGCUAACUACGUGCCAGCAGCCGCGGUAAUACGUAGGUGGCAAGCGUUAUCCGGAAUUAUUGGGCGUAAAGCGCGCGUAGGCGGUUUCCUAGUCUGAUGUGAAAGCCCACGGCUCAACCGUGGAGGGUCAUUGGAAACUGGGAAACUUGAGUGCAGAAGAGGAAAGUGGAAUUCCAUGUGUAGCGGUGAAAUGCGCAGAGAUAUGGAGGAACACCAGUGGCGAAGGCGACUUUCUGGUCUGUAACUGACGCUGAUGUGCGAAAGCGUGGGGAUCAAACAGGAUUAGAUACCCUGGUAGUCCACGCCGUAAACGAUGAGUGCUAAGUGUUAGGGGGUUUCCGCCCCUUAGUGCUGCAGCUAACGCAUUAAGCACUCCGCCUGGGGAGUACGACCGCAAGGUUGAAACUCAAAGGAAUUGACGGGGACCCGCACAAGCGGUGGAGCAUGUGGUUUAAUUCGAAGCAACGCGAAGAACCUUACCAAAUCUUGACAUCCUUUGAAAACUCUAGAGAUAGAGCCUUCCCCUUCGGGGGACAAAGUGACAGGUGGUGCAUGGUUGUCGUCAGCUCGUGUCGUGAGAUGUUGGGUUAAGUCCCGCAACGAGCGCAACCCUUAAGCUUAGUUGCCAUCAUUAAGUUGGGCACUCUAGGUUGACUGCCGGUGACAAACCGGAGGAAGGUGGGGAUGACGUCAAAUCAUCAUGCCCCUUAUGAUUUGGGCUACACACGUGCUACAAUGGACAAUACAAAGGGCAGCUAAACCGCGAGGUCAUGCAAAUCCCAUAAAGUUGUUCUCAGUUCGGAUUGUAGUCUGCAACUCGACUACAUGAAGCUGGAAUCGCUAGUAAUCGUAGAUCAGCAUGCUACGGUGAAUACGUUCCCGGGUCU